rnacentral:tRNA from 1 species
GAGGGUAUAGCUCAGUGGUAGAGUGCAUGCCUAGCAUGCACGAAGUCCUGGGUUCAAUCCCCAGCACCUCCA